CAAGCAUAGCCCACCUACAGUGGAUCACCUCAAGCUCACGGUUCUUGGCAAAUGUCUCUGGGUCAGCUGAUAAUCCAGCAGUAUCCCACCCGUAGUCCCCAGGGAAUUCACCGGUCAGGUAUGAUGGGAUUUGGUCAGAGAAUGGACCCAAGUACUUUGGGCGGUCAGGGCCAUACCUGUUUAUAAGUAAUCAGAACAAUAUUUCCCUCUCUCUCAUGUUUUUUGCUCAUAAAAUAGAUUAAUGCAUGCAACAAAAUGUAACGUACCAGAUGCUGGUUGGAGCACUUUUGACGGUUCUACGCAUGGAAACGCGACCACCACCGACGGCACCGAUCUUGCAGACGAGCUCAUUGGACUGCUUCAAAGCUGUUUGGCCAGCGAAAGCAGAUUGUUGGAUAGCAGAGGUUGCCAUGGUGAU
rnacentral:lncRNA from 1 species